rnacentral:lncRNA from 1 species
AUGAGGCAUCAGGGCAACAGUGCAGGGGGCUACAGGGAGAAGAAGAGAUGGAGAGCUGGGGUUUGGCGUCAAUCUUACAAAGUGUAUAAAGAAUCUGUGUUUCUCUACAAUAACAAAAAAACCAAAGGCUACAAGAGCGGUUGUAUAUACAAAACACGGAGAUAUUGCUUCACUUGCAAACGGGUUCCUGACCAGACGGGAGACAAGACAGAGAGGGGCACAGGGAGGGGCUGGAGGGGGCGCGGGGCGGCCCUGCGCGCUCAGCAGCCCGGCGGUGGCCGCACACAGCAUGAGGGCUGCCGAAGCCGUCGGAGCGCGGCGCAUCCUUCCGGGGGUGUCCUGGACUCGGGGACGCCGGGGCUCGGGAGUCGAGGGCGGGAGACGCGGCGGCCCUGGCGGAGACUCACUCACGUGAGCAGCCACAACCACAAAGGAACCUCAGAUCACAGCCUCCGGCCCUUUGGGUUUGGUUUAUCCCCGCGACUCCCCCUCUUAUAAGGCCGGUGCAGAGGGUAGCGGGAGCCUCGGAGGCGGGGCGCAGGGAGUGCCAGGGGCGGGGCCGUGCGGCGGGGGUGGGGUUCUGUGCUCCCGGGGUCGGCUAGUUCUGCGUGUGGAGGGGCGCCCUGGGGGUGCAAAGCUCUAGCUCCUCCCCGCCAGGCCUCGGAGGGUCUUCUCCGCCGACGAUGCGAGACGUAACUCUCCCCGGCCCCCAUUCCAAGCGCUGGAUCUCAAGCCCUCCACGCCGCACCCGCUGCGCUCAACGGGGACCCUCGGGGCUGGGGGGUCCUCCGGACUCUGCUCCCCAAGUCAGAAGCUGGGGAGAGGGCGGAAAGAGACGAAUAAGCAAGGGCCCUGGUGCGCUGGGUCCAGCAAGGCGGGGCAUGGAGCCCGGGACCCCUCCAACACCCCCGCCUGCAGAGACUUCCCGGAGAGGAGAGCAGCCGAAGGCCCGGGGCUGGACCGCUAGGGAGCCGUCUCGGGGCUCCCACGCUCCUUCCCGCUCACGGAUUCAUCACUGCAGAUGUGUUCCUGGGAUCGUCUAACGUCUCUCAUCGCACUUCCCGCAACUGAGCGCCCUAAGGCUGGCCCCGGGGUCUCUCUUGUUCACCCUCUAGCUCGGGGCUCACUCCCCAGUCUUACCUCUACCCCAGGGUCUGUAGUGUCGUCAAUCUUGGCCUGUAUCAAAGCAGACACCUCAGAACAGGAUAGAGGAAAGACGGGCUCCUCCUGCUCAUUCAUUCAUUCAACAAACAGUCCUGUUAUCAGGUAGUAAUUCCCAGGCUACUGGAGAAAGCCCAACACUCAGCCUGGGGUAGGAGGCAAGGCUGGGACAAAAGAAGCACUAAGUGCGGCUGUGGGGCUGGACCAUGUCCAUUCCGAAA